rnacentral:lncRNA from 1 species
AAAUCUCUAGCAGCCGAAAACAACCACAAUCAAUAGCAGCGAAAAAUCUCAAACAUGCAAAAAACAAAAAGAAACGAAAAGAGAGAAAGGAGUGAGUCUUGGGGGACUUUUUCGGGUUUGGGUUUCUAAGAUUAAAACAAGAUUUUUUGGGUUUAUCGGUUGAAGCUCAGAAAGGAGUUUAGGCAGCUGCUGCCGGCAAUGAAAGGGAAAAGCUUUGGGUGCUCCUUCGAUUAGGGAAGGGUUGUUUUUUUGAGGCUGUUGGUUGGGGCUUAGAGAGAAGAUAGAGAGACCGACGUCGGUGAAGAGAGGGAGAUCUUAACCGCCGCCGGUGAAGUGAAAGGAAAAGGGAGGCCUUGUAGUGGUCGGCGGGUAGAGAGAAGGUGGAGAGGCCGACGGCUAGAGAGAGAAAAUGAAAGUUGAAAAUGAAUAAAAAAGGCUAAAAAGG